rnacentral:rRNA from 1 species
ACGAACGCUGGCGGCAGGCCUAACACAUGCAAGUCGAACGCCGUAGCAAUACGGAGUGGCAGACGGGUGAGUAACGCGUGGGAACAUACCCCUCGGUUCGGAAUAACUCAGGGAAACUUGAGCUAAUACCGGAUACGUCCGAGGUUUUAAUCGACCUUGGAGAAAGAUUUAUCGCCGGAGGAUUGGCCCGCGUCUGAUUAGCUUGUUGGUGAGGUAAUGGCUCACCAAGGCGACGAUCAGUAGCUGGUCUGAGAGGAUGAUCAGCCACAUUGGGACUGAGACACGGCCCAAACUCCUACGGGAGGCAGCAGUGGGGAAUAUUGGACAAUGGGCGAAAGCCUGAUCCAGCCAUGCCGCGUGAGUGAUGAAGGCCUUAGGGUUGUAAAGCUCUUUUACCCGGGAAGAUAGUGACGGUACCGGGAGAAUAAGCCCCGGCUAACUUCGUGCCAGCCGCCGCGGUAAUU